rnacentral:rRNA from 1 species
CACUUUGAUUAUGGCUCAGGAUGAACGCUAGCGACAGGCUUAACACAUGCAAGUCGAGGGGCAGCGAGGGAGUGGCAACACUUCUGUCGGCGACCGGCGCACGGGUGAGUAACGCGUAUGCAACCUGCCCUUCACAGGGGGAUAACCGGGAGAAAUUCCGACUAAUACCGCAUACGUCCUCCGGGGGUAUCCCCGGGGGAUGAAAGAGUUAUCGGUGAAGGAUGGGCAUGCGUGAUAUUAGGUAGUUGGCGGGGCAACGGCCCACCAAGCCUACGAUAUCUAGGGGUUCUGAGAGGAAGGUCCCCCACAUUGGUACUGAGACACGGACCAAACUCCUACGGGAGGCAGCAGUGAGGAAUAUUGGUCAAUGGACGAGAGUCUGAACCAGCCAAGUCGCGUGAAGGAAGACGGAUCUAUGGUUUGUAAACUUCUUUAGUGCGGGAACAAAGCGGCGUCGUGACGCCUGAUGAGUGUACCGCAAGAAUAAGCAUCGGCUAACUCCGUGCC